rnacentral:rRNA from 1 species
UACAGAGGGUGCGAGCGUUAAUCGGAAUUACUAGGCGUAAAGCGCGCGUAGGCGGCUUUGCAAGUCGGGUGUGAAAUCCCCAGGCUUAACCUGGGAACUGCAUUCGAGACUGCAUUGCUAGAGUAUGGGAGAGGGAAGUGGAAUUUCCGGUGUAGCGGUGAAAUGCGUAGAUAUCGGGAGGAACACCAAUGGCGAAGGCAGCUCGCUGGGACGUUACUGACGCUGAGACGCGAAAGCGUGGGGAGCAAACAGG